GUGCCUGAAAUCUUGUCUCAACCUAAUUAACUUGUAGAGGUGAGCAAAGUUUCAGGUGUGU
rnacentral:pre_miRNA from 1 species